rnacentral:rRNA from 1 species
GUCGAACGGUCCUUUCGGGGAUAGUGGCGGACGGGUGAGUAACGCGUGAGAAUCUGCCUUUAGGACGGGGACAACAGUUGGAAACGGCUGCUAAAACCCGAUGUGCCCUUCGGGGUGAAAUAUUUAUAGCCUGAAGAUGAGCUCGCGUCUGAUUAGCUAGUAGGUGCGGUAACGGCGUACCUAGGCGACGAUCAGUAACUGGUCUGAGAGGAUGACCAGUCACACUGGGACUGAGACACGGCCCAGACUCCUACGGGAGGCAGCAGUGGGGAAUUUUCCGCAAUGGGCGAAAGCCUGACGGAGCAAUACCGCGUGAGGGAGGAAGGCUCUUGGGUCGUAAACCUCUUUUAUCAGGGAAGAACACAAUGACGGUACCUGAUGAAUCAGCAUCGGCUAACUCCGUGCCAGCAGCCGCGGUAAUACGGAGGAUGCAAGCGUUAUCCGGAAUUAUUGGGCGUAAAGCGUCCGCAGGUGGUUUUGAAAGUUUGCUGUCAAAGCGCGAGGCUCAACUUCGUAACGGCGGUGAAAACUUCAAGACUAGAGCUAGGUAGGGGUCACGGGAAUUCCCAGUGUAGCGGUGAAAUGCGUAGAUAUUGGGAAGAACACCAGCGGCGAAAGCGCGUGACUGGGCCUGAGCUGACACUCAUGGACGAAAGCUAGGGGAGCGAAAGGGAUUAGAUACCCCUGUAGUCCUAGCCGUAAACGAUGACAACUAGGUGUUGCCCGUAUCGACCCGGGCAGUGCCGUA